UGGGACUCGGUGUAGUGCAAUAAUUUUCUCUCUCCUGGCAAAUCCUGAGGUUAGAGAGAGCUCUCUUAGUUGGUGUAGUCCUGGGUGACGGGGACCCUGGAGUGAUGGCUAUGGGACAGAACUGAGGGUGGGUGUGAGACAGCGUGGGCCUGCAGGAGAAACAAGUUUUCAGGGCCUUCCCUCUGCUUCGUUUAGGACAUCCCCCUUCUCUGUCUUUCUUUUGCAAAGUGUGCCAUGAACGCCCUGUCCCCUGCCCCGCUGACACUGUGGCUCGUCUCUGUCUGGGUCUUGCCAGCCAAGUGUCACGGGAACACGUUGGGACAAUGACCAACACCGUAUGCUGAAUUUCUUUCAAGGUGGUAAGUGUCGAGCUUUGGCGGAAACUUUGCUAAAUGGAACAAGACUGGCAAAGAAAUAUCUUGUCAUCCUUGGGAAAGACCCACCCAGCAAAAUCCCAAGCUCGGAUUGGAUCUGCUGUCAACAUUAUUUAUCCCUGCAUCCAGCCUACAGAAACUGUUGGCGUCAUGCAGCUUGGGGUGGACAAAACACGGAAUUCACAGCCUCUCACUUCAGCUGGGCCCUCAUUGGUGCUUUUUACUCCCUCUCCUUAAGCCUCAGUCUCCAGCCACUCCUAAGGACCCAGGACAGUGCCUGGGACACAGCAGGCAUCAAUAAUCACGGGUCGAAUGAACCGAUGAGUUGGUGAAGGAAGAAGUCUUAUUCCAUAAAUUGUGCUGGGUGUUGGCCAGUGAAUCACAGCUUCAAUGUGAUGCGGAUGAGUAUCUCUCUUGAUGUGCUCAGCACUGAGGAGACCACAAGCGUCUCAAGCUCUUGGACCAGAUGCCCAGGGGACUGGAGAUGUUGCCUCAUCAUGUUGAACAGAGAGAUGGCAGGGCCAGAUUGGGGGGCUUAACACGACACCAGUUUAUUGGUCACAGUCUCGAAGACCAGAAGUCUGAAGAACAGGGUGUUGGCAGAGGCCUCUCUCCUUGGCUGGUUGUUGGCCACCCUCUCGCCAUGUCUUCAGAUGGACUUCCCUCUCUAUGUGUCUAUACCCAAGUUCCUCCUCUUAUUUAUUUUUUUUUCAAGUUCCUCCUCUUAUAAAGUCAUAUAAAGUCAUACUGAAUCAGGAUGUACCCACACAACCUCAUUUAACUAAUUACCUUUGUAAAGAUCCUAUCUCCAAAUACAGUCACAUUCUGAGGCACUGGGGGCUGGGACUUCCAACAUAGGACUUUGGUGGGGGGGACAUAAGUUAGCCCAUAACAGUACCUUUAAGGCUUACCUGCUGUUGACUGGCUGAGUGACCGUAAGCAAGAUUAUUUUAUCUCUCUGUGUCUCCACCAUCUCAUCUGGAGUUAAUGAGAGCACCACCUCAUUGAGUGGAGACAGGGUUAAAAGAAUCAAGACCCCUGAUGUGCUUGGCACAGUGGCAUGUGGUGAGCACUCAGGUCAGCACUUGCUAUUAUUAUUAUUAUUAAUGAGCCCUAAGAAAACGAUUGUGUGCAAUUCAAGUAUAAGAAUUGGGCUCUAUCCUCAACAUGCCUACAGGUCCCUGAGACUGAAGAUAAAACUAAUAAAUAAAAAUGACAUGAGGCA
rnacentral:lncRNA from 12 species